rnacentral:tRNA from 1 species
CCCGGAAGUGUGUCCGAAUUUCAAGAGUUACUUUGAUAGAGUAAAAUACAGGGGUUAAAACCCCCUCAUUUCC